rnacentral:rRNA from 1 species
GACGAACGCUGGCGGCGUGCUUAACACAUGCAAGUCGAGCGGUAAGGCCCUUUCGGGGGUACACGAGCGGCGAACGGGUGAGUAACACGUGGGUGACCUGCCCUCAGCUCUGGGAUAAGCCUGGGAAACCGGGUCUAAUACUGGAUAUGACUCCAUGACGCAUGUUGUGGGGUGGAAAGCCUUGUGCGGCUGAGGAUGGGCCCGCGGCCUAUCAGCUUGUUGGUGGGGUGANGGCCUACCAAGGCGACGACGGGUAGCCGGCCUGAGAGGGCGACCGGCCACACUGGGACUGAGACACGGCCCAGACUCCUACGGGAGGCAGCAGGUGGGGAAUCUUGCGCAAGUGGGCGAAAGCCUGACGCAGCGACGCCGCGUGAGGGAUGACGGCC